rnacentral:lncRNA from 1 species
CAGAUACUGUGGGAGUUUCUGCCUUGAUAUUCUGGGUUAUAAAGCUGUGUGGAAAGGCCCUGGAACAGGAUUGUUUUCCUCCUCUGCAAGGCCUUCCCAAAGUGAGUCUCGCUGAGUUCCACCGGACUUCAAUCAGCGACCAAUGGAAUUGCCGCCUUCAGCAAAGCAGCUGAAGCGGAAGAAGGCGGGGCCAGGAGGCGCGCCCAUUGUGACGCAAUAAGUCGCUGUUCCGAUUAACGCACUACUCCCUCCGACACGGCUCGCACGGAAAGCUCGCGCGUGCCUUUACAGCUGCAGCGACAACCAAUGUAGUAGUGACGUCAGCAGCUUUGCUUUCAGCCAUUGGCGCUUCCCGCGGGAAAGAUGGGCUCAUAAGGCGGCGUUGAGCGACGGCUCUUUCCUUUCGCCUCUUGCGUUGCUUCUGACGGCUGGCGUCCACGCGGGUUGGAGUCACGGUUGCAAAAAAUGACAUCCAAUUCCCUAAGUGUUAACCAUCGCAUGCAACGCACAGCAACACUUGCACAGGAAGUUCUGGAACGGGCAAAAUCACGAAAAUUAAACUGGCCAAUUCCUGGUCAGCUCCAAAGGAGGACCUUCCGGGAAGGGGAUGGUGAAGAUGCAUGUUUUGCUGCAGCCUUUGCUUCAGUUGCUGAACACAUGGGCCACAUCUCUGCAGCAUGUGAGAGACCUUGUCAGGUGUUCCUUAUAUUUCUCCAGCCUAAAUCCAGGGAAAUUAUUUGUGGAUGUGGCCUGGUUUUUUUCAUGCGUUUCAUUACUACAACAUUCUCAAGCCUUAGGAACUACUACUGCUGUGUGUCUCCACUUCAGUUUAAGGAGUGUGAAGUUGCCCAUAUCUUUAGAUACCACAGCAGGCAAGCAUCUGAAAAUCUGUUGAAAGCAUUUGAAAAUGAAGAAAGUAAACAUGGUCCAAUAGUGGAAGAACCUGGGUGUCCAGAUACAGAAUCAUCUGCAUUAGUUCCAGCUAAGACCUCUGAUACAAAAGAAAGUAAACAUGAUCCAAUAGUGGAAGAACCUGGGUGUCCAGAUACAGAACCAUCUGCAUUAGUUCCAGCUAAGACCUCUGAUACAAAAGAUAUCUAUGUUGAAGUUUCUCCUGGCACCUACAGCGUCAGCGCAUCUUUGCAUGAAGACGGAAUCAAACAAACACAUCUGCUGAAGAUUAAGCCAGGAGAAAGUGUAAAUUUGACUUUUGAUUUCUAA